AGCGAACGUUUGCGGCGGGCUUAACACAUGCAAGUCGAACGGGCUGUUCCUUCGGGAGCAGUCAGUGGCGCACGGGUGCGUAACACGUAGGUAAUCAACCCUCUGGUUGGGGAUAACACUUCGAAAGGAGUGCUAAUACCCGGUAUGGCGCAGCGGUCUUCGGAUCGCGGCGAGAAAGACCCGCAAGGGUUGCCAGAGGACGAGCCUGCGGCCCAUCAGCUAGUUGGCGAGGUAACGGCUCACCAAGGCGAAGACGGGUAGCUGGUCUGAGAGGAUGAUCAGCCACACUGGAACUGAGACACGGUCCAGACUCCUACGGGAGGCAGCAGUGGGGAAUAUUGCGCAAUGGGCGAAAGCCUGACGCAGCCACGCCGCGUGAGCGAUGAAGGCC
rnacentral:rRNA from 1 species